UUCUAGAAAUGAUUGGGAAGCGUGUGGGAUUGUGGCUCAGUACAGAACAGAUCUGGACAGAAAACUCUCACUGCACAUCCAAAAACCCCUCCAAGAGAAAAAGAGGAACACAGGACAGGCCAGUACCAAACAAUCAGAGAAAGUCUCCCCUGGAAGGAAAUGGCUGCACAUGCAAAGAUGGGAGGUGUAAGACACCAGCAUUUCAGUGCUGAAAAUAGCACCUUCUACUGUUUAUCCAGGCCUCCGGAAAAGAAGUGAAUUAAUGACGCAGAGGAUGGGUGCUGUAAAUCUUAAUGUCACACUGUCCCCCCUUCCCUCCCUCCUGCUGGAGCUGCCGGUGCAGAGCAUCUGGCCUUCCUCUGAAAACCACCUGCAAUUUAUGGCUCCAGCAUUACAGGCUGGACUGUGAGCCCAAACCACCCUAG
rnacentral:lncRNA from 12 species